AUGCUCGAUCCGGUCUCUCGCCUGUAAGUCACCCCCUUCCAGUAUCCAGUAGUGGGUAUUCAGUUACUUACUAUUGUGUGUUGGUCAUUUACUGUGAGAAAAUUAGAGUGUUCAAAGCAGGCGUUUGCUUGAAUAGAUUAGCAUGGAAUAAUAAUUGAAGGCUUUCGUGUUCGAUUUGAUUGGUUUGUUCAUGGAAGCAAGGUUAAAAGGAACAGUUGGGGGUAUUCAUAUUCACUAGUUAGAGGUGAAAUUCUCGGAUUUAUGGAAGAUGAACAAGUGCGAAAGCAUUUACCAAGGAUGUUUUCAUUAAUCAAGAACGAAAGCUAGGGGAUCGAAGAGGAUUAGAUACCCUCGUAGUCUUAGCUAUAAACGAUACCGAC
rnacentral:rRNA from 1 species